GGAAUAUUUAUUUGUUGAUGCAAUUUCCAACCAUGUUCUCUACAACCAAGAGUCAUUCCCUUGCUUCCCCAUUCACCCCUAUAGCUUCCUUCCUUGAUGGAUGAUUGUCUGAGCUAUAGCCACUUCACUUAAAUCACUUCACCCACUCCAAACAGCCACCGAUUAAAAUCACUUUUGGAAUAUUUAUUUGUUGAAUUCUACAACUGAACGACACUAUCAAGUGGUAUUCAGAGCCAUGACGUUUCUCCAUACAAAUAAGUCUAGUGCAACAUAGCCAGACUUCUAUACAUCCAAGGUAGCCUCAUAGGAAGUGGAGUGAUUGUGGAAUCAAGUGUUGAAUCCAACUCUGGUGUAGUGGUCUUCUCAGCCAGAACUUGUCCAAAUCUGUGAACUUGGUGCAGCAACAGAAUUCACUAGUGGCAGCUGCGAGAUUAGUUUAAACUAGCCUAGUUUCUUUGUUUUGAGAAGCCAAAGCUGCAUUACUACAUUUUCCCUUCCCUUUUGUGUACCUUGUAAUUGUUCCAUCAUUUUCAAUUCCUUGUAAUUGGCUAUUAAGCAAGUGACUUGGAAGAAUCCUCAAGUGUUCUUCCAUCACUUGCAAACUUUGUUUUUGUUUGCUUCAUUUAAAAUUGGUAGACAGUGAGUGUGUCUUGGAUCCAAAGGUCCAAGCCUCACUUAGCAGA